rnacentral:rRNA from 1 species
GAUGAACGCUGGCGGCGUGCCUAAUACAUGCAAGUCGAGCGAACGGACGAGAAGCUUGCUUCUCUGAUGUUAGCGGCGGACGGGUGAGUAACACGUGGAUAACCUACCUAUAAGACUGGGAUAACUUCGGGAAACCGGAGCUAAUACCGGAUAAUAUUUUGAACCGCAUGGUUCAAAAGUGAAAGACGGUUUUGCUGUCACUUAUAGAUGGAUCCGCGCUGCAUUAGCUAGUUGGUAAGGUAACGGCUUACCAAGGCAACGAUGCAUAGCCGACCUGAGAGGGUGAUCGGCCACAAUGGAACUGAGACACGGUCCAGACUCCUAAGGGAGGCAGCAGUAGGGAAUCUUCCGCAAUGGGCGAAAGCCUGACGGAGCAACGCCGCGUGAGUGAUGAAGGUCUUCGGAUCGUAAAACUCUGUUAUUAGGGAAGAACAUAUGUGUAAGUAACUGUGCACCUCUUGACGGUAACUAAUCAGAAAGCCACGGCUAACUACGUG